UAAUUAAAUUAUUAAAGCAAUUUACUUGACGCUCCAUAAAUAUCUUAGCUCGGUACGGAGUCUGUUACCAUUUCUUGUCAAGGACGGGAUACGAAGAAAAUGGAAAACACAAACGAGGGUUGCAGGGAAAGGUGGGUUUUAAAGGUUUGAUGAAGCAUCACUAUCUAAAGCAGAGAGAAAUGAAAGCUCUGACUACAAUGUUCGGGGCUGGUAUUUCUUCACCACAUACAGUUGUACAGUUAUAAAGUUAAUGCAGGAAAACUGGACAACAGUCAGGCCAGCCAUCUAGGUACUGUCACUGAUGAAGUAAAGGUGGGUAAAGAUCAGAAGUCUCAAUCUUGCUCGCACUUUUAACGUAUGCACUGUACGUAUUGGAGCAGUAAUGAAAUCUGCCAACUUCCGAUAUUAAUUUCUUCAAUACUUUCUUCUUUCCUUAGAAACAACUAAAAUGACUUUAUGGGUGUUUCAACAUUAGUAGCUGUAAACGAUUUCAGAACCCUCCUGUAUACUUAUAUACUGGUGUAACAU